CCAGACUCCUACGGGAGGCAGCAGUGGGGAAUAUUGGGCAAUGGGCGCAAGCCUGACCCAGCAACGCCGCGUGAAGGAAGAAGGCUUUCGGGUUGUAAACUUCUUUUCUCAGGGACGAAGAAGGUGACGGUACCUGAGGAAUAAGCCACGGCUAACUACGUGCCAGCAGCCGCGGUAAUACGUAGGUGGCAAGCGUUAUCCGGAUUUAUUGGGUGUAAAGGGCGUGUAGGCGGGAGCGCAAGUCAGAUGUGAAAACUCAGGGCUCAACCCUGGGCCUGCAUUUGAAACUGUGGUUCUUGAGUGCUGGAGAGGCAGUCGGAAUUCCGGGUGUGGCGGUGAAAUGCGUGGAUAUACGGAGGAACACCAGUGGCGAAGGCGGAUUGCUGGACAGUAACUGACGCUGAGCCGCGAAAGCGUGGGGACCAAACAGGAUUAGAUACCCCAGUACA
rnacentral:rRNA from 1 species